AGCCUCAUAGUGCCAGUGCUAAACUAGAGAAGCAAAAUUUGGACACCAAACAUCCUCAGCUUAUCAACCACAGCACAAAUGUUUCUGGAUAUAAUUUUACUGAUUACACUCAUUCCAGUUUAUAACUGAAAUAAUUAAUAAUAUAAUUUGAUAACUUUAGCAAUCUAAUGUCAGGCCACUUCAAAAAAGAUCGGAGCAAAUGAGUGAUUUGAAAAUGAGUGAUUUGAAAUGAGCAUCACUAGUGUUCUAUAUUUUUUUUCCCCUUUUUCUCCAGUUUUCUUAUGACCUGUUCUACUUAUCGCACAGUGCUACCAGCGCUAGGAGGGUGAAGGCUAGGACCUGCUUCCUCCAAGACACAUAAAGUGCCACCACACUUUUUGGACAUUACUGAACAACUCAACAUACUUGGAGAAGGACAACAACUCCCAAUACUGUUAGGUCAGCUAACAGCUCAUGGGCCAGCAUCGUGCUGAGUAACUGGGGGGAGGGAGGACCAUCCGACCCACCCAGAGAGAGCGAGGUGAUGCCCAGCUCGAACAGAAUGCCCAGAUCAGGAGAGUCUGAAUCACAGCGGAAAAAACAGUCGCCGUCCAGUAGACAGGGCAGCAAACUGCUCAUCUGAUGACAGAGGAGAGCGGAGAGGUGUGCGUGUGUGUGUUACCUCAGUUCCGUUAAAAGCGCACAGACGGACGUGUCGGCUGAGAACCUGUAGCCCCACCCCUGGAGGAGGGAUCAUUCUGCAGCUCCACAGAGUCAGGGUUAAACACACUCGAGACGAACGAGCGUGAACCUGCUCAGCCACACGCAUAAAAACGAACAUCAAAGCUGUGAGAAUAUGCCCAGUCACAUUUGCUUGA